ACUUACAUUCUUUACUACAAUUGAUACAAGAGGGUUUAAUUUGUGUGUUAAAGUUAAUUUUUGCAUCAGUAGGACUUCUUGUGAUUGAUAAUUGUAAUUUCACUUAAGGCGAACAUCACACUCUUAAGGAUUGCAUGGCUUUUCAAAAUGUUUUCACAAUACUUAAUGAGUCUUUCAUGUUCAUAUUUGAUCUGAACAUUACACACGGAUUACAUGUUAGAUAUACGUUCUAGCUCGAAUAUCAUGAGCCUAACCUUCAAAAUUGCAUGUGUUAACUCAUAAAUAAUUGAUAGGAUUAUAUAGGAUUGUUAAUGGUGAAUGAAAAAAUCUAAUACCUUUACAUUUGAUUUUUCCAAACGAUUUUCUUUCUUUUUGUUGUCGAGCUUUACUAAAAUUACUU
rnacentral:lncRNA from 1 species